AUUUUUAUUUUGAUAAUUAACCUGAGCAAGCAUGAUGCUAAUGUUUGAGGAGUAAAAAGGUGAACGAGACAAGGUGGUUUUUACUCCCUUCAGAAGGUCUACCUUCUGAAGUGCUAGUUUCAUAUUAAUAAUCAUAUUUAAAAAACACUAACUUAUGUUUCUAAUAGCAAGUGGAUUCUUAAAAUUACUAUUUUUCAAGUUCUUUAAACUCUAGUGCAAACUCUGACCUUUGAAUGCCCCUUGUCAGUAAUGACAGAGAAGAAUAGCAGUUUGCAACCUACCUGUAGACCCAGUCACAGCAGCAGAGCUGAAGUUGGACCAUGAUUGCUCUCGGGCAGUCUCAUCUCAUCAGGUGAGACUUGAAGCAGAAUGGCCAAAGGUGACUACUGAUCAAACUAGUUUCUACCUCUGUGUGAAUGGAACACUGGUAUGUGUACGGGAAUCUGUAAAACAUGCAGAAGUGCUUUCCUGUCUUGUUAUCAUGGUUUCAAAUCUGAGUGUGAACAUAAUAUUCUCCACCUCAUACUCUGGUCUGCUGAAGCUAUUAGCACCACGUGAUGGCAGCAUUUUGCUUCAGUUUGUUUUGUCAUGCCCUGGACGUCCUCUUGUCCUCUUACCUGCUGUUCUGUAUUUCCUUUCCUCUUUUGGGUCACUGCUGACUUUAAAUUCCACCUUUGUGUGGUAUGCCCAGAGAUAAAAGAAUGAUAACCUGAAAGAACAAGAGCACUCCACGUUCCUGUGUAAUACACAGAAGUUCCUCACAGCAAGCUUAGAGCUGAAGAUAAGAGCCUCACAGCAAGCUUAGAGCUGAAGAUAAGAGCCCGACCCAUGAUGUAUAUGAAGGAUACAAGUCACUUGUCUUCAAGGCUAUCUCGUGACUGCUGCACUUCCUCAGAACAAGAAAAUUGGCCUGAACACUAACAGUUGCUUAACUGUGAGGAACCAUUUCCACUUGUGACUCAGAUUUGCAGAAAUAGUUGGGAAAAAAAUUAAGAGUGCACUGAGUGAAGAAGGCUUUAUCUUAGCAUAUAUGUUCUCAGCAAGAACAUGACAGACAUUUCCCAGCCCUAUAAUUUUAAUACUGCAGUUCAGAAGACUACAACCCAGCAAAAUGACUGCACUGUCUUUUUUACCAAGGCACUCGCUUCCUGGGAGAUUAGACUAACAUCACCUCAUCACCAAAGUGAGGGCACUGAGAGGUACAGGGAAAGCAGCUGAGAGGUAAACACUGUUAAUAAUGUACAUUAAAGGAGUAAAAAAAGAGUAAAAGAGGAAGGUGGCUUUAUUUUUGAAAACCUAACAAGGGAUUAUUUCCUUAUUUUGAAUGUACUGUCACUUCAUAAAGCAUCUCUAGCCAUUAUACUUCCCUAUUUAAAACAAGUUCUUUUCUCUUAUGAAAAUAAAAUAAACUUGUGAUUUUUAAUUUAAUGAAGAGAAAUUACUAUUUGGAUCUGGCUACCAUUUAUUGUUGAAGAUUUAUUUGUAACUUUAUUGCAUUGUGAGUAUUCAUUUCAAAUAAAGCAAGACUGUAAGCAUU
rnacentral:lncRNA from 1 species